CCGGCGGGGAUUCAGCGUCUUUUUCUCACAAAAAUAAACAUGUUACAUGUGCCUCUCUCUUUCUCUCACUCUCAAACGAAAUCAGCUAUUCUUUUCCCUACAUUCGAUUCCAGCGGCCCCGGCGAUAAAGAUGAUCGAUCAGAUCGUCGAUCGGGCUUGGUUUCUGAUCACCUUUAUCCAGGGAGGGAGAGAGAGAGGAAUUCCGUUUUGUUUUUCGAAGGAGUGCAUAAAGGUUGGGUUUGAUCAUCUUCAACCAGAGAGAGAGUCAAGCCAAGAAGUCGAUUGGAAAGAUUCGGUUUGGCUUCUCAAGUCAGUGCAUUAAGGGAUGGCGAAGUGGAAAUAACACAAUUUUCUCAACUGUUAUGGCUUACAAGAUUUUGAUUCCCAAGCCCAGAAAGCAACCUCACACUCUUCCAAAGGGGUACACUGUAUCUAGGUAAAAGUAUGCGGUGAUUUCCAAUUACCUGCUUCAUUUUAGUAUGUCUAUUUGCGUUGCAAUAUUAUACCCACCGGAUUGGCUUCUUUUUCACGCCAGUGGUGUUGACUUGGCUACUGUGCAUCAGUUUUAUUGGCUUGUACAACAUUUUUUGUUGGAACUCACAAGUUUAUGAAGCACUUUCUCCCUACUACAUGUCCAAGUUCUUGAAGACGAGAAAAAGUGGAUGGAUGUCAUUGGGUGGACCUUUGUUGUGCAUAACGAGUAAGAUGGGAAAACAUAUCUACAAGGCAAACUCUCAUGCUUUCCAUUUUGUUAAUAUUCAGGUAUGAUGAAUGUUCGAGGUGGUCUGUCCAAUUGUCAGACUAGUCAUAAUAGGGGAUUCAUGUGGAUGGACACUCCAGUAAUUAUCCAAAGCAAAUUGUAUAUAACGAAAACACCCAAUUUAUGUGAUGUUUCCCGGGAGGCACCAUACAAGAACAUAUAAUUAGAUCUAUUAGUUUUUCCUACAUUUAGCAGUGGUGAUCAUUGUUCGUGUUUCAGUGUCUUUUGUAAGUUCUCAUGUUUUGCCUGAUUAAAAGGACAAAUCAUGGAAGUUGAUUUUGGGUAUGAUUCAUAUGUAAUGCACUGUCACCAAGUACCCACCUAUUGCAGUACCAAUCCUCCAUUGCUAAAUGUGGGUAGCAUUAUUGAAA